ensembl:snRNA U2 U2 spliceosomal RNA
AUUGCUUCUCAGCCUUUUGGCUAACAUCAAGUGUAGUAUUUGUUCUUACCAGUUUAAUAUUUGAUAUAUCCUCUUGCCAAGGACAAUGUAGUAAAUGGAUUUUGGAGCAGUUAGAAGAAGAGCUUGCUCCUCGCUCCACUCAUUGGCCUGGUAUUGCAGUACCUCCAGGAAUGGUGCACUCCCU